rnacentral:rRNA from 1 species
AGGCCCUCGGGCCCCCCGGAUCCUCGGGUCUCCCGCUCGCGGGAGGCUGCCCGCCGGAGUGCCGAAACCAAACUCUUGAUAUUUUAUGUCUCUCUGAGUAAACUUUUAAAUAAGUCAAAACUUUCAACAACGGAUCUCUUGGUUCUGGCAUCGAUGAAGAACGCAGCGAAAUGCGAUAAGUAAUGUGAAUUGCAGAAUUCAGUGAAUCAUCGAAUCUUUGAACGCACAUUGCGCUCGCCAGUAUUCUGGCGAGCAUGCCUGUUCGAGCGUCAUUUCAACCAUCAAGCUCUGCUUGCGUUGGGGAUCCGCGUCUGACGCGGUCCCUCAAAAACAGUGGCGGGCUCGCUAGUCACACCGAGCGUAGUAACUCUACAUCGCUAUGGUCGUGCGGCGGGUUCUUGCCGUAAAACCCCCAAUUUCUAAGGUUGACCUCGGAUCAGGUAGGAAUACCCGCUGAACUUAAGCAUAUCAAUAAGCGGAGGA